rnacentral:misc_RNA from 1 species
GUGAAUCAUCGAAUCUUUGAACGCAAAUUGCACUCUCUUCGGAGAGUAUGCCUGUUUGAGGGUCAGUAUUAAUAAAAAUCGGUGUGUUGCUUACUUGUGACGUUCCGGAGUUUGGGUCAUCUUAAUAUCUUUUAGGUUUUAAGAGGCUUCAAAUUGACUUUUUUUGUGCAUUUUAGAUGUAAAUAAAUUCUUUUUGUUAUUCGUCUGUCUUAAUGCUCACAUUUUUUUUCGAUGCGAU